AGUCGCACGAGCCGGGGCGCCUGAGACGCGGCGCGUUCUGGAAGCUGUGGUUCCCAGCUGGCGCACGGACUCAUCACUCCAGCGCCGCCGCGUCGCCUCCCGGAAGCGUCCGACCGCGCACCAGCCGCGCACCAGCGGGUGAGGUGGGUCUGGGUGGGGCCCCCCCGCGGAUUGCCGGAGAGAAACUACGGGAAACCCCGAAGCGGCGAACGCCUGCGGUGGUCUAAGCGAGAUGUGUGGGACCGACACGCGCAGAUGGAGAGCGAGGGGCUGACCCCGAGCCGCGCGUGGACCGACAGACGGACAGACCGAGUGUGGAGCUCUGUUCCAGUGCGGGACCGGCUGACUGACCAGUUGUCUUGCACGAUCUUAGCUCCAACUCCUAACCACUGGACUGCCAGGGAAUUCCUCUUUUCACCUUCUUGACGGUGUCCUGCAAAUCACAAAGGUUUUUAAUUUUGAUGAAGUCUAGUUUAUCUGUUUUCUCUUUUGUCACUUACCUAAGAUGGCUUUGCAUUAUUUUUGAGUGUGUGUGGAACAGUGACCACAAAACCACACACUGGGUCACAAACCAAGUCUCAAACCAGCAAAUAUCAAAGGAUUAAAAUUGACGAAAGCACAUUUUCUGAGCACAACAGAGUUAAUCUGGAAAUCAGUAAUAAAAAGACUAUCAGAAAACUCUGAAUUGUUUGGAAAUGAAGCAGCAGAGUUCUAAGUAACCCAUGGUUCAGGAAGAAACCAAAAGAGAAAUUAGAAUAUAUUUUUAACUAAAUGAUAAUGAAGAUGCAAAACCAAACUUGUGGGUGUACAGCUAAAGCUGUGUUUAUAGGGAAAUUUAUAGCCUGAAAUACAUGUAUUAGAAAAGAAGAAAGGCUGAAUGUCAGUUGUCUAAAUAUUCAUCUCAGAAACUACAAAAUAAUUAGCAAAUAAAGUAAGGGAAUGCCCCUGUGGCUCCCAGGGGAGUGGGGUGUGUGUGUGAGAUAGAAGACAGACCCACUCUGUGUGGGAGGAGCAUAGGCCUGAAGCAGACUGGCCAUGGGGUCAGGCUACUGGGGUUUGUAGCUCAGCAACCGCCCUUCCUUUCAGUAUCUGGGAAACUUUGGGCAAAUCUUUUUCUCCUGUCUGUCUUUAUGCCAUAUAAUGAGAGAAAGCUCCCACCUCCUGAGUUUAUUGUGAGUUUUAAACGAGUUACUAUAUGCAAGCAUUUAGAAAGGUGCUCAGCACCAAAUGGGCGCUGCCCUAAUUAUUUUGAUCAUCUGUGACUCUGUGAGACUGAGUCACAUCUCACAGGCCCCAAGCCCACAUCUGCCCUACUCAGCAGCCACAAGGCAGGGCACCAAGUUCACAGGAUAACCAAGUUCUGAUCCUCCUGCAGACCCAGUUCCAAGGCUCCAGCCAUUCCAUAUCUCACUGGAGGUCUGCUGCCCAAUGGCCAUCCCCAAGAGCCUUGUGAGCCCGGUGCCCUGGGAACAGGAUGACUUUCUGCGAGUGAAGGUCGAGCAUGAGGAGGCCAGCUUCUCUCAGGUCCAGGAGUCUAACUUUGGCCACACCUCGCACCCUGAGGCUGCCCGUCUGUGCUUCUGACACUUCUGCUAUGAGGAGGCAUCCCAACCCACGUGAGGCGCCGGCCUGGCUCCGUGAACUCUGCCGCCAGUGGCUGCGGCCCGAGGUGCACUUCAAGGAGCAGAUGCUGGAGCUGCUGGUGCUGGAGCAGUUCCUGGGCGCGCUGCCCCCCGAGAUCCAGACCUGGUUGCGGGCUCAGUGCCCCGAGAGUGGCGAGGAGGCUGUGGUGCUCGUAGCAUAUGAUCAUCUCAAUAGAUGCAGAAAAAGCUUUUGACAAAAUUCAACACCCAUUUAUGAUAUAAAAAAAAAAGCUCUCCAAAAAGUGGGCAU